rnacentral:ncRNA from 1 species
GGCCUCAACCUAUUCUCAAACUUUAAAUGGGUGAGAACUCCGGCUUGCUCGAACUAGAAGCCGCGAGUUUUGUGUGUAAUUCUUAUAACGAUAACGGAUCAGAGUGCCAAGUGGGCCACUUUUGGUAAGCAGAACUGGCGCUGUGGGAUGAACCAAACGCAGAGUUAAAGCGCCUAAAUCGACGCUCAUGGGAUACCAUGAAAGGCGUUGGUAACUUAAGACAGUAUAUUUGUAGAAGAAAGAUUUACAUAUAGGGUUACAAAUCGGGUACGCUGCUCCACCCUGGGGUACUACAGCGCCCUCCUAACUCGAUACAUUCUAAUG